AUUGAACGCUGGCGGCAUGCUUUACACAUACAAGUCGAACGGUAACAGGUCUUCGGAUGCUGACGAGUGGCGAACGGGUGCGUAAUACAUCGGAACGUGCCUAGUAGUGGGGGAUAACUACUCGAAAGAGUAGCUAAUACCGCAUGAGAUCUACGGAUGAAAGCAGGGGACCUUCGGGCCUUGUGCUACUAGAGCGGCUGAUGGCAGAUUAGGUAGUUGGUGGGGUAAAGGCUUACCAAGCCUGCGAUCUGUAGCUGGUCUGAGAGGACGACCAGCCACACUGGGACUGAGACACGGCCCAGACUCCUACGGGAGGCAGCAGUGGGGAAUUUUGGACAAUGGGCGAAAGCCUGAUCCAGCAAUGCCGCGUGCAGGAUGAAGGCCCUCGGGUUGUAAACUGCUUUUGUACGGAACGAAAAGCCUGGGGCUAAUAUCCCCGGGUCAUGACGGUACCGUAAGAAUAAGCACCGGCUAACUACGUG
rnacentral:rRNA from 1 species